UGCUUGCUUCGGCAGCACAUCUAUAAAAUUGGAACGAUACAGGGAAGAUUAGCAUGGCGUCUGCACAAGGAUGGGGUGCAAAUUCAUGAAGCGUUCCAUAUUUUC